rnacentral:pre_miRNA from 1 species
CCAGGAAAAUGACCUAUGAAUUGACAGACUGCUUUCAAAUUUGCCUGUCACUUCUAUAGGCCAAUAUUCUGU